rnacentral:rRNA from 1 species
GAUGAACGCUAGCGGGAGGCCUAACACAUGCAAGCCGAGCGGUAUUUGUUCUUCGGAACAGAGAGAGCGGCGCACGGGUGCGGAACACGUGUGCAACCUGCCUUUAUCUGGGGGAUAGCCUUUCGAAAGGAAGAUUAAUACCCCAUAAUAUAUUGAGUGGCAUCAUUUGAUAUUGAAAACUCCGGCGGAUAGAGAUGGGCACGCGCAAGAUUAGAUAGUUGGUGAGGUAACGGCUCACCAAGUCAAUGAUCUUUAGGGGGCCUGAGAGGGUGAUCCCCCACACUGGUACUGAGACACGGACCAGACUCCUACGGGAGGCAGCAGUGAGGAAGAUUGGACAAUGGGUUAGCGCCUGAUCCAGCCAUCCCGCGUGAAGGACGACGGCCCUAUGGGUUGUAAACUUCUUUUGUAUAGGGAUAAACCUACUCUCGUGAGAGUAGCUGAAGGUACUAUACGAAUAAGCACCGGCUAACUCCGUG